rnacentral:lncRNA from 1 species
UAAUGAGAUAAUGAUCUAUUCCUAUGAGAAAUGCCAAAAAAAUGAUCCUUUCAUGGGUAGACCCAUAUGCAGUUGAAGGGAAGUUCACCAGGGUUCUGUUUCAGAAGAAAAAAGAGUAAAUAACCAAGCUUGUGUUUUGAAGCUGCAAUUUUUCUUUAAAGUACAAUUUUUAAAAUCUCGAUUU